UAGAUUCAGCGGCCGGAGGAGAAGGACGUAUAGGGUACACGUGGACGGCAGCUUGUUCCUCAUCUGUAGUGGAAGUCUUAUUUUACAGUUUUCGGCACCAUUGUUUCGGCAGAAAGGAAGGUUGGGAACAUCAAACGGACGUUACGGAGUUAGGAGUACUUGCAGCAUGCAGUUACAGCAGUGAAAAUCCAGUGAAUGCCUCCAAAUUUUCAAGCAACACUGUUUCUGAAGAUGUAUAAAGUUUGUGGCUGGGCUGCUUAAUCAACGAAGAUCUUACGGAGGUGGCUCCUGCAACCCCACCCACCCGCCAGCACAACCCAUAGAUAGUGAGUUAUGCAUUAGGGGUAACAGGUUGUACAAUAUCAUUAUUUUAGGAUUCUUGACAUGAGUUGUAGCCUCUCUAAUCAUGCAUGAACAUCCGUCAUAAAUGUCUUGUUAAUUGUUGGUUAUAAAUGCAAUAUAAAUUCAAGCCAAGAACUCUAGUUUUAAACAUUUUACUUGCUUUAUCCCAAAAAUGGCUUCAGAUAAUCUCCAACCUUCCUAAAAAUACAACUGAGUAAAAUAUGUAUGUAUAUGUAUAUUAGAUUUAACGUUCCACAGUGAGAUAAUGUUUACACACAGGCAGCCACCACUGUGCCUCUGUGAAGUUUGGACUAUGUUGGAUCAAGUUGCCACACCAAAUGGAACUAAAUUAUUUUAACUCAGUGGGGCUAGGUUACUAAUUUAGAGGCAAAUAUACUACUAUUUUUUAGGUUAUAAUAGGCAGGUGGGUUGUUUUAUUUACACCAUAGCAUCAAAACUAUUAAUUUCUAAUGAUAAAAAAAUAAAUUUGUUUUGAAAUACUGAAAAAAAAUUGCUAUACUAAAACCAAUUCAUGAAGGCACUUUGGGUGCGGUCGGCUAAGACUGUAAAAGAAAGUGAAUAUUGGCAAAUUUUUACUUAUAAAAACCGCAAAUCUCUUAGUUUUUAGCUGUUAACUACUUUGAAAUAAAAUAUAAUUACUCUG